GCGAAGACGGUGCAACGAGGCGGGGUAUUACGGGGGGUGGAGGCGUGAAACGGAUGUAACGUGUGUAAUGAGGGCGCAUGCGGUUUGGUAAGGCUGCUGUGAAAGCCCAGAGCUCAACUGUGGAAUUGAAGUGGAGAGUGGCAAGGUGGAGUACGGUAGAGGAAGGUGGAAUUCCCGGUGUAGCAGUGAAAUGCGUAGAGAUCGGGAGGAAGACCAGUGGCGAAGGCGGCCUUCUGGACCAGUGCUGACGCUCAUGCACGAAAGCGUGGGGUGCAAACAGGAUUAGAUACCCUGGUAGUC
rnacentral:rRNA from 1 species